GAACCCCCUUAAGUGUUCUUAAGGAAGAACUAGACGUAGCUAAGGUUGAGUGAACCUGUAUAAAAGUUGUACUUUAUUGUUUUUCUUUUUAAAAAACUUUUGCAAAGUCUUUUGAAACAUCAUCAUCUAAACGUAUUAUUAUUUGCUAAUCUUUUAAAAACCUAUCAGACGUCAUUUGCGAAAAGUCUUUAAAAACACUAUUCUCCCCCUCUUGUGUUUUCCUAUGUUUUCAAAAGCAACCCCAAUCAGAAGCUCCAUGUUGCAAUCCUCACUCCUUAAAUUUGUCCAAUAAUAGGUUGACGCGUGUCAAUAUCCACCAUUUUUAAAUAUGCCUAAUCACAGGUUGCCAUGUCAUUUUCAUAUUUUACCC
rnacentral:lncRNA from 1 species